AUCUUGAAAGCGUCAGUAUGAGGUCCCUAGUCGCUACGUCGUCAUUUUGAGAAGGUCAGAGGGUUGGAAUUGAUCGCAAUUGGCCAUCUUGAAGAGAGCAGAAAGUGAGGUGAAAAUGACUAGUAUUGUCGCCGUCUAGAGAAGGAAGGAAGAUAGCUUUCAUUGCAACACACACUAUAUUGACUGGAGAGUCUUAGAUGAUGGAAAAGAAUAGCAGCGUAUGAAGAGAGCUAAGUAAACUCCUGUCUCCAACAUGAAAACAAAAGGAAUUUAAUGAAACUGGUAGUGGUGGGAAUUAUUGUUUAAGAAUGGGCUAUGAGAAACACUCGUUUUAUGUUGGUUUUUUUUUUUUGGUGUUUUGUGAUUUGUUUUGUUGGUUUUGUUUGUUGUUUUGCUUUUUAGGCUUUUUUUUUUUUUUUUUUUGAGAUGGGGUCUUACUGUACAGCCACCUGGCCUCAAACUCUCUAUGUAGACUUGGCUAGCCUCAAAUUUGCAACAGCCCUCCUGCCUCUGCCCCCUAAAUGCUAGGAUUACAUGUGUGAGCCACUAUGCCCAACAGAAUAUUUGAAUUUUAACUAUUCAUUCAUACAUUCAUUUGGGGGUCACUGGGUACUCCUGGCUGCCUGGAACUUGCUUUGUAGACCAUGCUAGCCUUGUACUCAAAGAUACCUGCUUACCUCUUCCUCCCUUAUGCUGGGAUUGAAGCUGUGUGCCACCACAACCAGCCCCCAGAAUACUCUAAUUUUGAAAUUACUAUUUGAAUUGCUAAAGAAUUAAAAGAAUUUUGACCUGGGAUUUAGGACAAAAUUUCCAACAAUUUCUGAAAUGGCCCUAAACAUGAAUUUGCUGUAUCUUUGCAAAGCAGUGUUCUCCACAUUGAUGAUGAUAAAGUCAAAACAAUCAACUCUGAAAAGCACUGAAGAUGCUCUGUGACCUACAGUAUCAAAUGUUUAGCCAAUAUUUAAUUCCUUUUGUUGAAACAAGCACAUUCAUGUCAUUAGGAUACAAAUUGUUUUUCAUCUUUAAUAAAUGGUGAAUAUAUAUAUAUAUAUAUAUAUAUAUAUAUAUACAUAUAC
rnacentral:lncRNA from 1 species